rnacentral:tRNA from 1 species
AGGCCAGUAACUCAGUUGGUAGAGUGUCGGUCUCCAAAACCGGAUGUCGUGGGUUCGAAGCCUACCUGGCCUGC